GAGCCGGCGGUGGGGAGGGAAGGUGGGGGGCGAGGGGCGGGGCCGCGGCGUGACGUCAGAGAACAAUGACACCGCUGGGGGCGGGCACCGGGAGGCGGCACGGGCGGGAGUCUCCCCCGAGGCCGGGCGGGCGGAAGAAGUCCUGGCCGCUGCCUGAUUGACGAGGUCCGCAUGGGAGCGCCGACGUGCCACGCAGACUCUAGGGCUGCCGAGGCCUCGUGGGCGCUGAUCCGAGAGAGCUUGGAGCCGGGGGAGGGGGUGGGGGAGUGGAAGGCUAGAGUCCUUCAGCCAGCACAGACCCCUAUUUUAGAACAUUCUUCUGAGGGCCGCUCUGACCUCGGCUUGAACUCCUUCAGGGCUGGAGAGAUCACUCCUUCCACCGGCGGGAGAGAGGAGGCAACAUGAAUUCAUUCCCAAGGCUCUGGUAGUCUGACAGCCGGUGAACUCAGCCUGGAAUUCAUGAGGGCUCCGAGGCUGCAGCUCGGGGCCCCAGGGACUUGAUGUGUCUGUGUGCGGGUGGGGAACCUGUUUGAUUUUCCCAGGGGAAGCCCUGCCUUAUCCUGCCACUGGGCGCUAGGGAAGGUGCUCCUUUGCAGCCUCCCCGUCUUCCGAUCUGAUCCGGCACACAAGGAAUGGACUGUUACUGCCGCUGCUCCCCCACCCACCACAGGUGACAGCUGGGUAUCUCUGGGGAGAGUGGGUGGUGUGCAGUCACUUCCUGACCUCCAGGGACACCAGGAGGCACAAUCCCAGCAAAUUCCUGUGGGAGGGAGUCCCUGCUUCACAGCCUGUGGGUGGCCCAAGUUCACAGGUGGCCAGAGGGCAGCCUGAGAAAGCCUUGAAGGUGGAAAUUGAGCUUGCUGCCUGGUGGCUAGACCUACAGCUCUCCCAACCGCAGCAUCCUACACCAUUGCAAUGAGCAGAAAGCCAACCCACCCCCAGGUCCAAAAUCCCACAGUGGAGUUUCUGAGCAUUGCAGGAUUUGGGAUGCAUGGAACCAGCCCAGCCAGCAACUGGGCCAAUUCCUGUUGCGUUGCUGGUGCCAGGUUAGGACACUUGGUCCUCUCAGCCUUCUGUCCAAAUCCCUCAGGGUGACCACUCAUGUUCAAAAGCUCCUGCCCAGAAGCUUCCGGACAGUAGUUAUACCUGGAGAAUCAGGAAGUGGCCACAGAGGAGCCAAGAAGAAUGAAGCCUUAGCAGCCAGAGCCAGGAACGAGGCCAGCUCUUCCUAGAUGUGCAGCAGGGCACUUGAAGCAGCAAAUCUGAUAAACCCUGCCAGGCUUUUCUGGAGACCCUGGGCCCCACUCCUUGCUCUUGGAGGACUCCACUAUCUCUUGACAUCUUCCAGGGAAAUCAGUGGGGGUCAGAUCCCUCUGGGGUCUUGCACAACAGUACACUGUAGGCACUGAGGAUUGUGGGGAGGGUGUCUUGGGCAGUAGCUUAAGGAAUUGGAGCUGUGUAUUUAACAAGUGCACACUGGGUCCAGAUGCAGACUCAGGCCCUUGCUACCAGUUUCCUGCUGGCUGCAGCUCAGCUCUGUAUCUGUAUCCAUGGACUCAUAUGUGGCCCCAAACAACUGGCUUUCCCUCUCUGGGCCUUUGUUAGCUUUAAGGGCAAGGUUCCCUGCCAGUGAAGUCUUCCUGAGAACUGUGUGUCUCUCUGCCUCAGCCUUGCUGGUCCAGGAAGUCUGGACUGAGGCAGAGAUGAAAGUAUCUUUGUGUCCCAGCCCUGGGACAUGGAAGAUUAUCCUGUUCUGCCAAGGCUGGCCAGGCAUCACCUGGAUCCAGAGGUAGCUUUAGGGCCUAUUAUAGGGGUGUGGGUUACAUGAGCCCAGUCUUUGGGUGCUCUUGCAGAAUCUUAGCUUACACCCACCUUCCCCCACAGACUGGUGCUAUACAUUUCCCCUCUCUGGGAGCCAUUAUCAGAACAAAGAGGCCAUGACUGAGAGCAGGACCCAGGUCUCAGGAAGCCAAAGUCACAGGCUCAAAGACUGGGAGGAUUCAGGCCCCUGGGUACACAGAAGACAUGUACAGAGUGCAGUGAGUGGGGCCAGCUGGGCCAGGAGAUCCUUGGUGGGCUGGGGGAUGAGGACAGGUGCGGUAUGUAUAUGGCCAGUUCCUCCUCCCAAGGACUUCCACCCCUCACCCUUAAUAGGAGCCAGGGGAUGUCUCAUUCAGUCGCAGGGAGGUGGAAGGAAAGUCACAUGUAUGGAGAGCCCACUGUGAGUCAGGUACUGGAAAAACCUUCUUCCGUAUGUGCCACAAGCCAGGUGUCACUGUGACUGCAGGAAGAUGCUCAGAGGCUCCAUGACACCAGCACUGGGCUUUAGGUCCAGCUGUUCCUGGGGAGUAGAAUAUGUAUUUUUGCCCUCAUCUUGUUGCCAGCCACAGUAGAAAUGAGGUAGCCUGCAGGUACUUUGAGAUAAAGACCAUCAUCCACCUCCCAGGAAAGUUGGGAGCCCUUUCCAUGGCAGUGAUGUGACAGAGAAUGCAUUUAACCUUCACCCCUUGGUGGAUCCAGGAAGCACUGGGCACUGUGCAACUUUGAGCCUGAGCCUCCUGGAGGACACACAAUGCCAGAUGCCUCCAGGAUGCUGAGCUGUUCAAUGAGUGACUUCCCACCCACCCCCCAUUAAAAUAGAAAAAAGGAAAAAGAGAGAGAAGAAAGAAAGAAAGAAAUCCAGGCAUUGUUCCCAUCCACAGCUGGUGCCAACCAGAAUCCUGCAGAAGAGAAUGGAGCAGGAGCCUGCCACCCAGGGGCCCAGCUGCUGACACAGGGCCUUUCUGUUUUGCUCCCCACUGUGGCCCCUCGGUGGAAGCCCUCCACCUGCCUCUCUGGUCCCAGUGCCCAGUCUCGCACGACCCUCAACAACUUUGGUAAAUCCAGGUGCUGCUAGCACCCUGCCAUGCUUUCCUUCCUUACCAACUCAUUGCCUGAGGCAAGCUGGGCUUCCUCCCUGCCAGCCUGGUGCCCACCCUACCAGGUGAGGACUGCAAUGCCUGCCUGGAGAAUUUGCACAGGUGCCUUCUCCAUGGAGUCGCUGCUUUGCUUCUGGGAUGGACUGGAGGAUGUCUCACCCUGCUACUAGGCACCAGCCCUUCCCUCACGUGUGAAGGCCGUCACAGUAGGGACUGUGGACUGAUGACCAGCUCUACAAAGAUGAAAACACAGUACUUUAAAGUCACUCAGAGACAAAAGUGAUUUGAAAAUUUCCCAGUUCGUUCUCUGUCUUUAGUCUUAGAAGGAAAGAGUUCCCCCAAAGUCUCCUAUGCCAUCUUUUUUGGUUUGGUUGGUUUUGGUUUUUUGAGACAGUGUUUCCCUGUAUAGUUCAGCCUGGCCUUCAACUCACUAUGUACUUCAGGCUGUACUAGAACUCCUGGUGAUCCUCCUGCUUCAGCCUCCUGAGUGCUGGGCUUACAGGCAUGUGCCACAAUGCCUGGCUCCCAUGCCACCCUAUUGCAUCCUCUCCUCCCUGUCCUCUGGGAGUUCUGUCUGCCCUGGAUCCCAGGUGCCUAGACAUGAGCUGGUUUGAGCCAGAUUUCUCCAAACAGCCCUAAGGGGGCCACAUGCUGCCCACUGACCAGUAUCCACCAAGAGCCCUUGGGUGGGGCUGGCUGCCAAAGGUAGCUUUCCAAGCUGUCUCCUCCCUCCUAUGGAAAUAGCACAUUAGAGUCUGUUUUAAAAAAAAGUGCUUUAUGUCACAUGUGAGUCCCACAACAGCCUCAAGAAGAUGUGGAUUUGCGCACUGCACAGUCCACUUUGUAGAGAAAGAAACCGAGCUUCCAAAAGCCUGGCGGUCUGGAUAAGGUUAUACCAGCACGGAGCAGAGUUGGCAUUUGAACCCUGAUCUCUCAAUUCCAUGCCACAAAUGGGAACAGAAACACAAGUAUCAAUGGCCACAGAAGACAGCAUUCCCAGCCCCUGCAUGCUACCAGAAGACGGUGUCUCAGACACAUUGAUUCAGUCAACAAAUAUUUGUUAAACACAAGCUGUGUGCCAAGCACAAACCUUGGCCUUGGGUGUUCAACCAUGAAGAAGCAGAUCCAGUUCAUGCUGCCCGGUACCUGUGUUUGGUGGAUGAGACAGACCUUGUGUAGAAAAGUCUUCCCACCCUAUAGGCAGCAUGCAGUCCCUAUGCCCUUGAAAAGCCCACGGCUCAGGGGCUGGAGAAAGGGUCUGUGGUCCCUGUAUUGCCCCUCACUGGCCCUGCAUGGCAAGGUUUCCCAUCUGUGAAAUCACAAGUGGCUCCUUACAUGUUUCCUCAGGUUCCUGCCCAACUCCCAUCUUCUGGGUCAAGUGGUUAAUGAUUUCUUGGCAUAAAUAAUUACCCUGAUUUAGUGUUUUCUUAGACCCAACUUUUCAUAGGCACUGGGAGCUGGAAAUGGGGCUUCCGAGGUCGCCUGAGCUGAGCCCCUCACUAAGCAAAACCCCCUUAGCCUCAGUGCCUCGGUGCUCCGGCAAAGUGCCCAGCAUUGCUUGUGCGCUUCCUGAGAUGGGUCACUCCUGGCUCCUCCACACUGCAGACCUCUCUCUGCGUAGUGGUGUGCUGGUAAAUGUUUAACAUCUGGCUCUCCAAAGCAGGGAGAACCUGAUUGGGAGUAUUUGCUGAUUUCCAUCGUGUAAAUACGCCCACCGCAGCCCAUUUCAAGCUGCCAGUCUAACAUCAACCCUCUCACACUUCCUGAAAAUUUGAGUCAGCUCUUAGGAGCCGGUCCAAGCAGGCUGCAACCCACGACUGACUGCCCUGGCCCACAGAGAAGCCUCAUCCGGCUUUACUCACUGGAAAGUUCUUACCAGUAUGGAGUGCAACACUGAUUGGCCAGGCGCUCAGGCCUGAAGGAGGACUGAGCUCUGAAAACCUUCAGAGGUUCCCUUGUGAUGGAGAUGGUCCUGGGCCCAGUGGACACAGGGCAGACCCACCCUCCUGCUUGGCCUCUCCACCUCCUCUCCUCUUCCCCUUCUCUCCUAAGUAUGCAUUGGCUUUAGUGACACUACAGUUUCCUAUAGCAACAGGGACCAAAUCUCAGCUCCCAGCUCGUUCUCUCCCUGCCUGCACCUUCCAGGACGGAAUCAGACACCAGUCCUCCCCAAGCCUGACCUGACCUGCACCCUUUUCUGUCCUGCAGUUGCAGGCUCCGCCUCCCCAACCUUAUCAACUUGGUACUUAUCACUCUCUACCUUGGAUUACAGCUAUUUGUGUACAGGCCUUAUCUCCCUGCCAGACAGAGAGGCAGCACUGGCUUGUUGAAAGAGCUUGGACUUUGGAGCCGCAUGACCUGGCUCCCUGCAUCCCAGCUCUGCAGGCACUCAGGGAGCUCACACUACCUUUGCAAAUCUCAGUUUUCUUAUCUGUAAAGUGGGACCGCUGGUAACUCCUCCCAAGAUGAUUUUCGCCAUUAAAUAUGACUAGAAAUGUUGAACUCCCUUUCCUGUUCCUGUGUGGACUCCACUCCCCUUGGGAACAGAUUACCUCUUUGUAGGCUUCUGUAAAAACCAUAACAAUAUUUAUAGUGACAAAAGUUUAUGGCAUUGCUAUGUAGAGAGUACUGUUCUAAAAACUUACAUAGGCUAACACUUCUCAUCCUUGCAAAAAUGGAGCUAUAGUAUUAUUUCCAUAGAUAAAUGGCAAGGUAGAGGGGUAAGUAGCAAGCCCAAGUGGAAGAGCUGAGAUUCAAAUACAGGGAAAUUGGUUGCACAGCCUUCGUUAUUGAACUCGAUGUCAUGUGCGCAAGGUGGUUUGUACAGUGGUAGAGGGGUUGCGGUCUUUGCAGUCCUGUUCCUCAUCCUGACCCAUCCUGACCCUGGUCUGCCCUCUAGGACCUCCCCAAAGUUGAAGUGGUUUGUACCAAAGAGCACAAUGUCUCCAGGUUCCUGGAGGCAGGGGACAGAGAGGCCAUUUGUGGGAAGAGGUGGCAUUUGUGGUUGGCCUUGACAAAUGAGAGUUUGGAGCAGGGUGGACAGCACAGAGAGACCAACCUGAACAAAGCUAUUGAGGUAGGUGGGGCACAUGAGAGCUAUCAAGGUGUCAGGCCAGGCCUGGUCACACCCUCUGGUGGGUGGCACGGACCAGAAGCUGGGCACUGGGGGAGGGGCUUGCUGAUUGACAGCCUGUGACCCAGGAAUGGCUGGGUUGAGACCAGUUCAGGGGCUUUGGAGGCCAAAAGACUGAGAGUUGGCUAGCUAACUCCCGGGCCAGAUUGUUCCCUGACCUCUCUCUCAGCCUCUCUCAGCCGUCUCCUUUUCUGCAGAUCAGGCAUGAAGAGGCAGUGGAGGGAAGAAGUGGGGUUGUAAGAGGUUUGUGUCUGAUGCUCCUGGGGCAGGAGGCAGCGUGGCAGGUGCUUGGUGGGGAGAUAGGGAGAGGGGCGCUGAGAGGAGCCUCAGUUUCUUCAUCCGAGACAAGGUGCUUGCAGUGAGCCUUCCCUGCAGCCCUGAGCAUACAUGGAGGGCUCUGGCCAGUGAGUGCCAAGCCUGCCUAGCUGGCCCCCAUGGCAUCAGUACCACAUGCCUUUUUUCCUGCACUUCUGGGCUGGUCCAGCAACACUGGCUUCUGUAGGGACUGCUCUGGGCUGAAUCCCAGUCUUCUGGCCACCUCCUUUUGCCACAGCCACGUCCCUCCCAGAUACUGCUGAAGAGUCCUUGGAGAGCCCUCCUCGUGUGCCCAGCGCUGCUACAACACCUUCCACACCCAUAGACACACCUCAUCCCUACACAUAUCCAGUGCCCACAGUCACACACACACACACACACACACACACAUAUGCACACACGCACUCCUGUGUAUCCAAAAUGACACUUCAGGGACUGUGGGCCCCCAGGAGGACACCCCCAUGGCCCAGUGAGCCCAGGCUCCAGCCUCUGCAGACAGAGCCCCAGCUCUGCAGUUGCGAGUCUUAGUCAUUUGAGCCAGUGGCUUCACAAGCCCUGCAUGGUGGCUCCCAUGUUCCCAGCAGGUGCUGCCCAAAUCAUUACGCUCAUCCACCCUACCUCCUGGAUAAGAAGUGGGCCUCAGGUGUGUGACUGGGGUUUAGGGAUGGGAGAUGACCCUUCCCCCAACUGAGGCAGGCUCUCUAGGCUUUGAAGGGACAGCAGGAAGGGGAGAGUGAAUUAAUCCCCGCCUCUCUCCCCCUCUAGGCUCACUAUGAUGCUAAUUUUCUCUGCCUUUGAUCCACACUCCCCCAGUCCGGCCCCUGACUCUGAGCUCAACCGGCACUGAGCAUGGUCUGAGAUUAGGGCUACCCUGGGUGAGGGCCCCGGGCAGAUCCCUACAUGCAGCAGAUUGGGGUUUUGUCCCUGGGGAGGGGUCUGGGGGAUUAUAGCCCUGGUUACUGAAGGGGCAUUCUCUCUCUUCUCUGUUCCCCUCCCCUGUCCUCCUGGGGGGCUCUGUGUUUUCGAUCAUUGCAGAGCCCAGUGAGAGGCCCCGGAAAGGACUCCAGAAACUCUGGCCAAGGCUAGUGGAACCAGGGUUCCAUCCAAUUCAGUCUUUCAGCCUCCAAUCGUGCUAUUUCCACAGAGGGCUUCUUUCUGUUCCAUGAUCUUUUCUUUUCUUUGUUCUUUGAAGUGUUUGGUUUUCUGAGACAGUGUCUCUCUAGGUAGUUUAGGUUGGUCUUGAACUAACUAUGUAGCCCAAACCAACCUUGAACUAGUGGAGAUCCUCCUGCCUCAGCCUCAUGAGUGCUGGUUUAUAGACAUGCACCAUCAUGCCUAAUCUCUUCAGUGGUUUUUAUUGUGUUUAAACCAGUUGUGUUUAAACCUGGAUGUGUGUGGCCUCCUACAGACCUCACAUGGCCUGUUGUGAGUCCUGCUUUACAGGCGGGCAAACUAUCUUAUCCUAUUCUGUCAUAGACGGCAAAGUCUGAUCAAACCCUGGACACCAGCUACCCGGAGUCCCUUGCUAUACAGAGAGAACACUGAAACCCAGACAGGGCAAGGGCCACACUCAAAGCCAUACAGAGAGCUGGCUAGCAUCCAUCCCCUCCCUGCCUAUCUAUGGCCAGCCUUCUUCUGGAAAUGACUGGAGUAUCCCGUGGUCCCCAUGGAGUUGACACAAGGAUCCAGAGCUCCCCUUAAGCAGGGGAUGGGACUGCUGUGAAAAUGCUAACUUCAGGUAAUCAUGGAGGCAUCGAGGCCAACUUGGCCUUGGAACAGCCUGUAAACUUGGGUAUAAACACAAUUAAACUUUUUAUUACGUUC